rnacentral:rRNA from 1 species
AUUCCGGAGAGGGAGCCUGAGAAACGGCUACCACAUCUAAGGAAGGCAGCAGGCGCGCAAAUUACCCAAUCCUAAUACAGGGAGGUAGUGACAAGAAAUAACAAUACAGAACCUCACGGUUUUGUAAUUGGAAUGAGUUAAGUAUAAACCCCUUAACGAGUAUCAAUUGGAGGGCAAGUCUGGUGCCAGCAGCCGCGGUAAUUCCAGCUCCAAUAGCGUAUAUUAAAGUUGUUGCAGUUAAAAAGCUCGUAGUUGAUUUUCUGUUAAUUUUUAUGUAUAAUAUUGCGAUAUUUACAUAAUAUUAACAUAAUUCACAUUACUUUACAGUAUGUGGAAA